CUAAAAGAAAAAAUAAUAUAGCUAAAAGAAAUAAAAUGCCAAAAAAUGCCACACAUGAGUAUUGAACCCACCCCACUCAAGAAUAUACACACUGCCCUUCUCCACCAGACCACUUAUGAUCAGUUAUCAUUUUAGCAAACACUUGGGAAUAUAAACAGAACUAGCUAGAGAUAGUUUAGAAAACAAAUCAAUUAAAAGAGGGGAUAGCCUAAUGUUACUGGACAGCCUAACUAAACUAAACAACAUUAAUAUACACUAUGUAAUAAAAGAAAAAAAAAAGAAAAAAAAGAAAUGCUAAACAUAUUACAAAUUUUUGUGGUUUUUUUAUUUAUUUAUCUUUGUUUAACAAAAAGAAAUUGAAUUAAUUAAAAAAAGAAAAGAAAAGAAAAGAAAAAAAAGGAAAUGGAGACGAAGAAGAAGAUGACAGAAGCUCGUCUUCCUCCGGUAUCGCCCUCACGAUCUUUCUUCUCUUCC
rnacentral:lncRNA from 1 species